ensembl:lncRNA
UGUAAACUUGAGAACUAUAUUGAUUCUAGAUGGCUAGUGGAUGUAAGCAAUGGAGAGCAGUGAGCUUAUACGUGAGGUGACAUGCAGGGAUUUGGGCAGACAUUUGUGUAUCUUCUCAUUGCAUAGCUUGAGCUUGUUCUGCAGAUUGUAAGAAGGUAGGGACACUCAAAAACACUUCUCCUCCACCCACCUUUCCCAUUUAAUAGAAGUUCAAAACAAUUCCUCAAAAUAAGUAUUGCACUGCAGAGCUGUCCUGUGCUAAUUUGAUACGGUUUGCGGGGCAGUACACACUCUUGGACCAAGGUAUAUAUUCCUACUGGUAAAAUUUCAUGUUCUCUGGAACUCAGUCCUUCCUCUGCUCAUGCCUAUGUCUUUACAUACUCUUUUUUUGUUUCCUCUCUGGUUCCAAGUGCUCUCUCUCCUCCGCAUGCAUUCUGACCAUGUCCUUUCCUCUUGCCAGUCUCCCUGCCUUCUUUGAUACACUCAGACCAGCGACCUCAUGGAGAAUCCCUGCCCUGCCUGCUCUUCACCACAGUGCUUGUUGGACAUCUUGUUGUCUUAGGCCUCUCAGCUUUCGUCUUUUGUGGAAGAUGUGCUGAUAAGACCUGAUUACUCUGCUAAAAGGAGACCUGGAAUCUCUUCCUAGAAUGACUGCAUUUUAAUCAGAAGAAUGUGAGCAAAGUCUUAAUCUUAUUAAUAAGGAUAGGCAGGGAUAAGCCAGAAACAAAAUCCACAGCAACACAGCUUAACCAUAAAACAACAGAUUGGAGGUUAGUAAUAGCAAUGCUAGUUUACAGCAGCGAAAGAGUACCAUGUCCCUCCUUUUCGUACAAGACUAAGCUUGACAGUGAACAAGUUGGAAGAACUGCCUCUUCUCCUGCCUUGUAACACUGAGCUAAAUCACACCGAGUUUUACGGAAACACAUAAUUGAAAUGCAGGAAAAGGUUAUUAUUUUUCAUCCAGUAUUUUAAAUUUAAGAACCAAAUCCGCAAAUCUGUUUUUUUUUUCAUUUCCUUUUAACACUUCUAAAUUCCUGUGACGUUCAGGGAUCAAUAAGAAUCUCAUACGUAGCUGAUUCCCRCAGAUAUUAAUCUAUCCCUUGGCUUUGCAGUCUGCUUGAAAUAGUACUUGUUUCUUCAUGUCAGACCUCUGGCAAUGCUUAGUAGAGUUAGGAUUACAGUUUCCAGUGAAUCCCGUUUUUACUAUCACCAGCUUUCUUAACUGUUCCCCAUAGUUGCCAACCUUUCCGUGCUUUGACAUUUAGUGGGAGGCCGGGGGUGUUGAUAGGUUUUGUCUGUCUAGAAUCAGUGUGCCUUUAACUGAACUUUGUUAACUUUGAGUUAAACUUUGUUUAACUUCAUCAUUAAAUCCAUUUAUGUUGUAGGCAUUUCAUGACAGUGAUCACAUACUUGAUCAAUACAUAGGUGCAUAUCUGCUGCGAUUUACCUAUUAAUGAAAGGAAAAAAAAUGCUCCUAUGUUUACUUAAGAACACAGUUCUACAACUAGACUUUUUUUUCUUCAGUUAACUUGAUUCAUAAAUUCAGAAAAUUUUUGGAUUGAAAAUUAGAGAUAUGGCUCACCUGCAGAUUCUGUGCUA